rnacentral:tRNA from 1 species
UCCCUGGUGGCUCAGAGGGUAAAGCGUCUGCCUGCAAUGCGGGAGACCCGGGUUCGAUCCCUGGGUCGGGAA